GGGCCGUUAGCUCAAGUUGGGAGAGCGCUACUUUCGCAUAGUAGAGGUCAGGAGUUCGAUUCUCCUACGGUCCA
rnacentral:tRNA from 1 species